CACGUAGUUAGCCGGGCUUCUUACUCAGGUACCGUCAUUUCUUCCCUGCUGAUAGAGCUUUACAUCACGAAUGACUUCUUCACUCACGCGGCGUUGCUGCAUCAGGGUUUCCCCAUUGUGCAAUAUUCCCCACUGCUGCCUCCCGUAGGAGUUUGGGCCGUGUCUCAGUCCCAAUGUGGCCGUUCACCCUCUCAGGCCGGCUACUGAUCGUCGCCUUGGUGGCUUCUACCCCGCAACCAGGCUAAUCAGACGCGGAUCCAUCUUACACCACCGGAGUUUUUCACACUAAGCCAUGCGGCUCCGUGCGCUUAUGCGGUAUUAGCACCUAUUUCUAAGUGUUAUCCCCAGUGUAAGGCAGGUUAUCCACGCGUUACUCACCCGUCCGCCACUAAGUUACGAAUCACUAGGUUCAUCGUAACUCCGUUCGACUUGCAUGUGUUAGGCACGCCGCCAGCGUUCAUCCUGAGCCAGGAUCAAACUCU
rnacentral:rRNA from 1 species